AGCAGCCGCGGUAAUUCCAGCUCCAAUAGCGUAUAUUAAAGUUGUUGCAGUUAAAAGCUCGUAGUUGAAUUUCGGGAUUGACACAUCGGUCGUGCCUUAAGGGGUAUGAACUGGUGUAGUCAAUUUCUCACCUUCUGGAGAACCGCGAUGCCCUUAAUUGUGUGUCGCGGGGAACCAGGACCUUUACUUUGAAAAAUUGAGUGUUUAAAGCAGGCAUUUUGCUUGAAUACAUUAGCAUGGAAUAAUAAAAUAGGACGGCAUGAUUCUAUUUUGUUGGUUUCUAGGAUCACCGUAAUGAUUAAUAGGGAUAGUUGGGGGCAUUAGUAUUCAAUUGUCAGAGGUGAAAUUCUUGGAUUUAUUGAAGACUAACUACUGCGAAAGCAUUUGCCAAGGAUGUUUUCAUUAAUUAAGAACGAAAGUUAGGGGAUCGAAGGCGAUCAGAUACCGUCGUAGUCUUAACCAUAAACUAUGCCGACUAGGAAUCAGACGAUGUUAAUUUUUUAAUGUACUCGUUUGGCAC
rnacentral:misc_RNA from 1 species